rnacentral:rRNA from 1 species
AACCAUACCAAACUGUUGCCUCGGCGGGGUCACGCCCCGGGUGCGUCGCAGCCCCGGAACCAGGCGCCCGCCGGAGGGACCAACCAAACUCUUUCUGUAGUCCCCUCGCGGACGUUAUUUCUUACAGCUCUGAGCAAAAAUUCAAAAUGAAUCAAAACUUUCAACAACGGAUCUCUUGGUUCUGGCAUCGAUGAAGAACGCAGCGAAAUGCGAUAAGUAAUGUGAAUUGCAGAAUUCAGUGAAUCAUCGAAUCUUUGAACGCACAUUGCGCCCGCCAGUAUUCUGGCGGGCAUGCCUGUCCGAGCGUCAUUUCAACCCUCGAACCCCUCCGGGGGGUCGGCGUUGGGGAUCGGGAACCCCUAAGACGGGAUCCCGGCCCCGAAAUACAGUGGCGGUCUCGCCGCAGCCUCUCCUGCGCAGUAGUUUGCACAACUCGCACCGGGAGCGCGGCGCGUCCACGUCCGUAAAACACCCAACUUCUGAAAUGUUGACCUCGGAUCAGGUAGGAAUACCCGCUGAAC